GACGAACGCUGGCGGCGUGCCUAAUACAUGCAAGUCGAACGCAGUGGGGACGGGUGAGUAACCAGUGGGUAAACUCCCAUUAGAGGGGAUAACACUUGGAAACAGGUUCUAAACCGAUAUUGAUUGAUGGACCCGCGGUGUAUUAGCUAGUUGGUGAGGUAACGGCUCACCAAGGCCAGGAUGCAUAGCCGGCCUAGGGUGGUGUUCCGCGACACUGGGACUUGGACACGACCCAGACGCCGAAGGGAGGCAAGGGUAGGGAAUCUUCGGCAAUGAACGAAAGUCUAACCGAGCGACGCGGCGGGAUUGAGAAGUGUUUACGGAGCGUAAAACGCUGUUUUUAAAGAAGCGGUAUCUAACCAGAAAGCCACGACUAACUACGUGCCAGCAGCCGCGGUAAUUC
rnacentral:rRNA from 1 species